rnacentral:tRNA from 1 species
GGAGAGGUGUCCGAGUCCGGCUUAAGGAGCACGCCUGGAAAGCGUGUGUCCCUUCACGGGGACCGGAGGUUCAAAUCCUCUCCUCUCCGCCA